AUUGAACGCUGGCGGCAUGCUUUACACAUGCAAGUCGAACGGUAACAGGCCUUCGGGUGCUGACGAGUGGCGCACGGGUGAGUAAUGCAUCGGAACGUACCCAGAGGUGGGGGAUAACGCAGCGAAAGCUGUGCUAAUACCGCAUGUGAUCUGAGGAUGAAAGCGGGGGACCGAGCAGCAAUGUUUGGCCUCGCGCCUUUGUAGCGGCCGAUGUCGGAUUAGCUAGUUGGUGGGGUAAAGGCCUACCAAGGCGACGAUCCGUAGCUGGUCUGAGAGGACGACCAGCCACACUGGAACUGAGACACGGCCCAGACUCCUACGGGAGGCAGCAGUGGGGAAUUUUGGACAAUGGGCGAAAGCCUGAUCCAGCAAUGCCGCGUGCGGGAAGAAGGCCUUCGGGUUGUAAACCGCUUUUGGCAGGAACGAAACGGUGUCCGCUAAUACCGGGCGCUAAUGACGGUACCUGCAGAAUAAGCACCGGCUAACUACGUG
rnacentral:rRNA from 1 species